AGUGAACGCUGGCGGUAGGCCUAACACAUGCAAGUCGAACGGCAGCACAGGAGAGCUUGCUCUCUGGGUGGCGAGUGGCGGACGGGUGAGGAAUACAUCGGAAUCUGCCCAGUCGUGGGGGAUAACGUAGGGAAACUUACGCUAAUACCGCAUACGACCUUCGGGUGAAAGAGGGGGAUCGCAAGACCUCUCGCGAUUGGAUGAGCCGAUGUCGGAUUAGCUAGUUGGCGGGGUAAUGGCCCACCAAGGCGACGAUCCGUAGCUGGUCUGAGAGGAUGAUCAGCCACACUGGAACUGAGACACGGUCCAGACUCCUACGGGAGGCAGCAGUGGGGAAUAUUGGACAAUGGGCGCAAGCCUGAUCCAGCCAUACCGCGUGGGUGAAGAAGGCCUUCGGGUUGUAAAGCCCUGUUGUUGGGAAAGAAAUCUUUCAGGCUAAUACCCUGGGAGGAUGACGGUACCCAAAGAGUAAGCACCGGCUAACUUCGUG
rnacentral:rRNA from 1 species